GUGGGGAAUAUUGGACAAUGGGCGAAAGCCUGAUCCAGCCAUGCCGCGUGUGUGAAGAAGGUCUUCGGAUUGUAAAGCACUUUAAGUUGGGAGGAAGGGCAGUAAGUUAAUACCUUGCUGUUUUGACGUUACCGACAGAAUAAGCACCGGCUAACUCUGUGCCAGCAGCCGCGGUAAUACAGAGGGUGCAAGCGUUAAUCGGAAUUACUGGGCGUAAAGCGCGCGUAGGUGGUUCGUUAAGUUGGAUGUGAAAGCCCCGGGCUCAACCUGGGAACUGCAUCCAAAACUGGCGAGCUAGAGGAUGGUAGAGGGUGGUGGAAUUUCCUGUGUAGCGGUGAAAUGCGUAGAUAUAGGAAGGAACACCAGUGGCGAAGGCGACCACCUGGACUGAUACUGACACUGAGGUGCGAAAGCGUGGGGAGCAAACAGGAUUAGAAACCCUGGUAGUCC
rnacentral:rRNA from 1 species